rnacentral:rRNA from 1 species
CAGCCGCCACGGGAAUCCGUAGGGGGCAAGCGUUAUCCGGAAUUACUGGGUGUAAAGGGAGCGUAGACGGUUAAACAAGUCUGAAGUGAAAUGCCGGGGCUCAACCCCGGAGCUGCUUUGGGAACUGUAGAACUGGAGUGUCGGAGGGGUAAGCGGAAUUCCCAGUGUAGCGGUGAAAUGCGUAGAUAUUGGGAGGAACACCGGCGGCGAAGGCGGCUUACUGGACGACAACUGACGUUGAGGCUCGAAGGCGUGGGUAGCAAACAGGAUUAGAUACCCGUGUAGUCCCUGUCUCUUAUAC